rnacentral:rRNA from 1 species
CCUACGGGGGACAGCAGUAGGGAAUCUUUCACAAUGGGCGAAAGCCUGAUGGAGCAACGCCGCGUGCAGGAUGAAGGCCUUCGGGUUGUAAACUGCUUUUAUAAGCGAGAAAUAUGAUGGUAACUUAUGAAUAAGGAUCGGCUAACUACGUGCCAGCAGCCGCGGUCAUACGUAGGAUCCGAGCAUUAUCCGGAGUACCUGUGUGUAAAGAGUUGCGUAGGUGGCAUAAUAAGUAGCUAGUGAAAUCUGGUGGCUCAACCAUUCAGACUAUUAGCUAAACUGUUAAGCUCGAGACCGUUAGGGGUAACUGGAAUGUCUAGUGUAGGAGUGAAAUCCGUAGAUAUUAGAAGGAACACCAAUAGCGUAGGCAGGUUGCUGGGACGGUUCUGACACUAAGGCACGAAAGCGUAGGGAGCAAACGGGAUUAGAUACCCCGGUAGUC